UACGGAGGGUGCAAGCGUUAUCCGGAUUCACUGGGUUUAAAGGGUGCGUAGGUGGGUUGGUAAGUCAGUGGUGAAAUCUCCGGGCUUAACCUGGAAACUGCCAUUGAUACUAUCAAUCUUGAAUACCUUGGAGGUGAGCGGAAUAUGUCAUGUAGCGGUGAAAUGCUUAGAUAUGACAUAGAGCACCAAUUGCGAAGGCAGCUCACUACACGGUCAUUGACACUGAGGCACGAAAGCGUGGGGAUCAAACAGG
rnacentral:rRNA from 1 species